rnacentral:lncRNA from 1 species
GUCAAGUGGAGAAGUGGUUGGUUGAAUUAGAGAGAGUUAUGAUUAACUCCAUCCACAAGGUAAUUGGAGAUGCAACUUUUGCCUAUACAAAAUAUGAACGAAUUAACUGGGUAAGGGAUUGGCCUGGACAGACCGUUCUCUGUGUGUCCCAAAUCUUUUGGACGAAAGAAGUACAAACAGCUAUUCCAAUGGGGAUAAAGGCUCUUGAGCAAUACUUGAAAACGUGUAACAGACAAAUUGAUGAUAUUGUCACUUUGGUGCGUGGCAAAUUGUCCAUGCAGAAUCGCGUAACUCUGGGAGCACUUGUGGUACUGGAUGUCCAUGCUAGAGAUGUCCUCUCAUCACUUGUAAAAAAAAAUAUUAGCGAUGACUCUGACUUUGAAUGGUUAAGUCAGCUUAGGUACUAUUGGCAAGAAAAUCAUUUAGAAACAAAAAUGAUCAAUGCUGGUUUGCGAUAUGGAUAUGAAUAUCUGGGUAAUUCCCCUAGGCUGGUUAUUACGCCACUCACGGAUAGAUGUUACAGAACCUUAUUUGGAGCCCUUCAUUUGCACCUCGGAGGAGCACCUGAGGGUCCAGCUGGCACUGGGAAGACUGAAACUACCAAGGAUUUGGCAAAAGCUGUAGCCAAACAAUGUGUUGUUUUCAACUGCUCUGAUGGGUUGGAUUAUUUGGCUUUGG